GGCCCAGGGCCACGCCCGGCUGCGGGUGGCGUGGGAGGGGUACCCGCUGGAACGGUGGGAGAAUGCGGCGAGGCCGGCGCCGGAGAGCGCGAGCAGCCAUUGUGGCGUGCUCCCGAACCGCCGACGCGGGGUCUGUGAGCGCGCUGCUGUCGCUCGGUGGACUCCCGGAACCUCGGCGGGAUGCUUUUUAGGGAGAAGAGCGUGCGCCUCGUCCAGCGCCGUGGACCAAACCAAAUCACAGUGCAGAACUUACCGCUGAUGAGAGAAAACUGGUCUUCAGAGUCACUUCGGACAUAUCACGAAUAGAGUACCUUUCUGAUGGGAAGUUCUAUGAUCUGCUUUCAGUGAGGAUCUAAUGUUGUGAUAAGAAAUUAAAUGAUGGAAAAUGCCUGGCGUAGCUAUUUGGCAUAUGACACUUACAUCAGAAAUGGCCUCACAGAUCUCCAACACAAAACUACAAACUUCAGGGAAAAAGAAACCCAAGUGAUGUUGAUAAAACUAAAGCGUAAGAUAAAACUCUUGACUGCAUGUCAAAUUCAGUAUGGUUUUCAGAACUUGACAGACACAUGUACAGGAAGAAUUUUGAUGCUAAGUAAACAGAGAUUAAAGACAUAUGAACAAUUAUACCAUUAUAACCAAAUAAUUAUGUCUA